rnacentral:rRNA from 1 species
AUUGAACGCUGGCGGCAGGCUUAACACAUGCAAGUCGAACGAGUGGCGGAUGGGUGAGUAAUGGUUGGGAAUCUAGCUUAUGGAGGGGGAUAACUACGGGAAACAGUAGCUAAUACCGCGUACCGUCGGGUGAUCCCAAGUGGGAUUAGGUCGUUGGUGGGGUAAAGGCUACCAAAGCCGACGAUCCCUAGCUGGUCUGAGAGGAUGAACAUCCACACUGGAACUGAGACACGGCCCAGACUCCUACGGGAGGCAGCAGUGGGGAAUAUUGCGCAAUGGGGGCAACCUGACGCAGCCAUGCCGCGUGAAUGAAGAAGGCCUUCGGGUUGUAAAGUUCUUUCGGUAGCGAGGCGUUAAUUACAGAAGAAGCACCGGCUAACUCCGUGCCAGCAGCCGCGGUAAUUC